AACCUCAUUGACCAGAAGGAACUCCUUAUGGUCAAUGAGAAACAACAACCUCAUUGAUCAUAAGGAAAUCCUUCUGGUCAAUGAGGUU
rnacentral:miRNA from 1 species